rnacentral:rRNA from 1 species
UACGUAGGGUGCGAGCGUUGUCCGGAAUUAUUGGGCGUAAAGAGCUCGUAGGCGGUGUGUCACGUCGGCCGUGAAAACCUGCAGCUUAGCUGUGGGCGUGCGGUCGAUACGGGCAUCACUGGAGUUCGGCAGGGGAGACUGGAAUUCCUGGUGUAGCGGUGAAAUGCGCAGAUAUCAGGAGGAACACCGGUGGCGAAGGCGGGUCUCUGGGCCGAUACUGACGCUGAGGAGCGAAAGCGUGGGGGAGCAAACAGG